UACGUAGGGGGCGAGCGUUAUCCGGAUUUACUGGGCGUAAAGCGCGUUAAGGCGGUCGGCAAAGUUGGUUGUGAAAUCUCAGGGCUCAACCCUGAAAUUGCGACCAAUACUGGUCGACUAGAGUGCAAGAGAGGAAGGUGGAAUUCCCGGUGUAGUAGUGAAAUGCGUAGAUAUCGGGAAGGAACACCAGUGGCGAAGGCGGCCUUCUGGCUUGUAACUGACGCUGUAGCGCGAAAGCGUGGGGAGCGAACCGGG
rnacentral:rRNA from 1 species